rnacentral:rRNA from 1 species
CAUUUAUUUUUAGAGGAACNCUGUUUUUAUCGCAANCCCACGUUANUUUCACUUUAAUUAAAAAUUUAUAUACCGCCAUCUAAAAAACUAAUUCAANGAUAAUAUUUUCAAUGAAAACUAAAAAGUUAGGUCAAGGUGUAAUCUAUAUUAAAGAAAAUAAUGGGUUACAUUAAAAUCAAUUUAAGGAUUAUUUUAUAAAAACAUUUUUCGAAAAAGGAUUUAAAAGUAAUAUUAAAAUNAAUAUUUNCAUUAUGAUCUAGAUAAUAAAUGUGCACACAUCGCCCGUCGCUCU